rnacentral:rRNA from 1 species
AUUGAACGCUGGCGGCAGGCUUAACACAUGCAAGUCGAGCGGUAGCACAGGGGAGCUUGCUCCCUGGGUGACGAGCGGCGGACGGGUGAGUAAUGUCUGGGAAACUGCCUGAUGGAGGGGGAUAACUACUGGAAACGGUAGCUAAUACCGCAUAACGUCGCAAGACCAAAGAGGGGGACCUUCGGGCCUCUUGCCAUCAGAUGUGCCCAGAUGGGAUUAGCUAGUAGGUGGGGUAAUGGCUCACCUAGGCGACGAUCCCUAGCUGGUCUGAGAGGAUGACCAGCCACACCGGAACUGAGACACGGUCCAGACUCCUACGGGAGGCAGCAGUGGGGAAUAUUGCAAAAUGGGCGCAAGCCUGAUGCAGCCAUGCCGCGUGUGUGAAGAAGGCCUUCGGGUUGUAAAGCACUUUCAGCGAGGAGGAAGGGUGGUGUCUUAAUACGGCAUCACAUUGACGUUACUCGCAGAAGAAGCACCGGCUAACUCCGUGCCAGCCGCCGCCGUAACAC